rnacentral:rRNA from 1 species
CCUAAGAACGCNANNGNNGGCUUNNCACAUGCAAGUCGAGCGCACUCUUCGGAGUGAGCGGCGGACGGGUUAGUAACGCGUGGGAACGUGCCCUUCUCUAAGGAAUAGCCACUGGAAACGGUGAGUAAUACCUUAUACGCCCUUCGGGGGAAAGAUUUAUCGGAGAAGGAUCGGCCCGCGUUAGAUUAGAUAGUUGGUGGGGUAAUGGCCUACCAAGUCUACGAUCUAUAGCUGGUUUUAGAGGAUGAUCAGCAACACUGGGACUGAGACACGGCCCAGACUCCUACGGGAGGCAGCAGUGGGGAAUCUUGGACAAUGGGCGCAAGCCUGAUCCAGCCAUGCCGCGUGAGUGAUGAAGGCCUUAGGGUCGUAAAGCUCUUUCGCCAGAGAUGAUAAUGACAGUAUCUGGUAAAGAAACCCCGGCUAACUCCGUGCCAGCAGCCGCGGUAAUAUGGAGGGGGUUAGCGUUGUUCGGAAUUACUGGGCGUAAAGCGCACGUAGGCGGAUCAGAAAGUAUAGGGUGAAAUCCCAGGGCUCAACCCUGGAACUGCCUUGUAAACUCCUGGUCUUGAGUUCGAGAGAGGUGAGUGGAAUUCCGAGUGUAGAGGUGAAAUUCGUAGAUAUUCGGAGGAACACCAGUGGCGAAGGCGGCUCACUGGCUCGAUACUGACGCUGAGGUGCGAAAGUGUGGGGAGCAAACAGGAUUAGAUACCCUGGUAGUCCACACCGUAAACGAUGAUGCCAGACGUCAGCAAGCAUGCUUGUUGGUGUCACACCUAACG